CUAAACUCUUGUUUUUUUACUGUGAAUAUCUGAAUGCUUCAAAACUAAAUAAGUUAAAACUUUCAACAACGGAUCUCUUGGUUCUGGCAUCGAUGAAGAACGCAGCGAAAUGCGAUAAGUAAUGUGAAUUGCAGAAUUCAGUGAAUCAUCGAAUCUUUGAACGCACAUUGCGCCCAUUAGUAUUCUAGUGGGCAU
rnacentral:rRNA from 1 species